rnacentral:misc_RNA from 1 species
GUCAAUUCCUUUGAGUUUCAUUCUUGCGAACGUACUCCCCAGGUGGAAUACUUACUGCGUUUGCUGCGGCACCGAGAUACUUCUGUACCCCGACACCUAGUAUUCAUCGUUUACAGCGUGGACUACCAGGGUAUCUAAUCCUGUUUGCUCCCCACGCUUUCGAGCCUCAGCGUCAGUCUUGGUCCAGCAGGCCGCCUUCGCCACUGGUGUUCCUCCUAAUAUCUACGCAUUUCACCGCUACACUAGGAAUUCCGCCUGCCUCUCCCACACUCUAGUCCGACAGUUUCCAAUGCACUCCCUUAGUUGAGCUUAGGGUUUUCACAUCAGACUUGCCGUACCGCCUACACUCCCUUUACACCCAGUAAAUCCGGAUAACGCUUGCCCCCUACGUAUUACCGCG